rnacentral:lncRNA from 1 species
UUUUUUUUUUUUUUUUUUUAGUUUUGCAAAAUGCAACAAUCAAGAUUCGAACCCAAGACCUUUGUAAUAAAAGACCAAUGUAUUAACCGUUACACCAUCACAUCUUAUUAGUUUUUUUUGAUAACUUAUUUAUAUAAAGCAAAUACUCAUAUUUCUUUUUUCCAUUUUUCUUACAAAAUCUCAUCCCCUCAUGGCUCUUUCUUUUUAAUUUUCAACUCUCUCUCUCUCUCUCUCUCUCUCUCUCUAUCAUUUUUUCUUUUGUCACUCCCUUUUUAAUCAAACCUCUUUAUUUUUAAUUUAUUAAUGUUUUCUUCCAUCUUUUAAUUUUGUUUUUGUCCAUUAAAUUGAAAAAAGUUAAAAAAGAAUUUUUUUUAACCCAAAUUAUUUAAUGCCACAACCACUCACUUUUAUUUUAUUUUUUGUUUCUUAUCAAGUUUACAUUUCUAUUUUCGAUUUUCUUGAUUUCCUUUGAACUCCAAAUUUUCUUUUUUAAAUUGCAAUAUCUAAAUCUCAAAACGUAAAUUAAAAUUUAAAUUCAUAAUAUCUAAAUUCUCAGAUACAUGAAUUUUGUAUAAUUUCAAAAUAUUGUGAUAUUUUGGGGUUGGAUUUAGAUAUAAUUGAAAUUGAGAUGAAAUUUAUUUGUUUUAACCUAGAAUUUAAAAAAUUUAUUUUUAAAAAUCCAAGUUAUUAAAAAAUAGUAAACUUUUCAUCAUAUAAUAUAUUAAAUUAGUCCAUUACAUGUUUUAUUUUGUACAUAUAUAUAUUUAUAUAAAUUAUUUUUUAAAAAAUUCAUUGAACCGAGGUUGAACCGGUCUGACCGGUUCAAUCUCGACUCUUUCACUUCACCGGUUCAAUUAACGGUCCGAUUUUUAAAACAUUGCCUGAAAGCAAGAGCAGAUCGCAGGGGAAACGGCUGCCAUCGACCUUUUUUGGGUCUGAAAGAUCACUAGGGUCUCGUACAAUCGAAAGUGCGUGGCCGAACAAAAGCCCGCGUACAAGCGGAAUGCCACCUCACAGGUUGUGGUUUCGGGCAGAGAUCUAGUAUUGCGCGAUCCAAACCAAUCCACCAAUGAUUUGGGUUAGAAUGAUUGAUAUUUUGAAGUUGGGCCUACAUGAGUGCCCCGGUUAGGGAUGGGUCUAAUGUGUUGUUACAUAUACCCAAUAACACAAAUUAGACUCAUUUAAUUUAUUUUUUAAAAAAAUUAGACUCAUUUAUUUCUUGAUGCAGAUUUAUUGUUAUCAGUAUUACUUUUUUAAUUUUGUCAUGUACUUCUGCAUGUGACAUGUCAACCAUCAGAAAUAUUGGUGGAGAGAAUUAGGGGUGCAAACGAGUCGAGCUCGAGCCGAACUUUGGCUAAACGAGCCGAGCUCGAGUUAAUUUUGUGAAGCUCGAGCUCGAGCUCGAGCUCGACGAGCUCAAAAUAUCAAGCUCGAGCUCGAGCUCGAGUCAAAUUCGAGUCGAGCUCGAUCUUAAAAAAUAAAAAAAAUUAUUAUUAUUUUAUUUUUAAAAAAAUAAAAAAUAAAUAUUUAUUUUUAAAAAUGAAUAAAAUAAUAUUUUUUUAAUAAAUAAUAAAAUAUUAGGGAUAUAUAUGUAAUUUUACUAUUAAAUAAAAAAUAAAUAUAUAAUUGAGCUCGCGAGCCAACGAGCUUAAUAUUUUUGAACUCGAGCUCGAGUUCGAGAUCGACUUAAUUGGCUCGAUCUCGACUCGAACUCGAUAUUGACGAGCUCGAGUCGAGCUCGUAUUCGAGCCGCUCGCGAUCGGCUCGAUUCGCGAAACACCCUAGAGAGAAUGUAGCGACAAUUCCUUGAGAAGGACGGUCUUUGACACCUCACGAAGUUCGAAAACAUUGAAAAACAUAUGAAAAGCACAAAGAAUACUUGAAAGUUGCAUUUGAUGAGUAUGAAUGGACUUGAACAUUGAAUUAAUUCUCUUCAAUUGCUUCAUGUUCUGCACAAGGCAUAAUUUCCGAAACCUCCCUUGAGAUUUCCUUCAAUUUCACUGAGCAUCUUUAACGUUUCAAAAAUUACACUUACUUCUUUAUGAUGGUUGAUUAGUAUUGAACAACAAAUAUGAAUAUAAAAAACUUGUCACUUAUUUCUUUGUAAUUGUGCUAAAUUACUUCACAAUUAUGUAAAAGAAUAAAUUAAACUUUGUUCGAUGAGGGCAUUUUAAGGUUUUUAAUAAAUUUUUGACCAUAUUUUAAGGUUUAAUGACUGAAAGUGUCAAAUCAUAGGACGUAAAUGCAAAUUUAAAAUAUCGAGAGAGCUCCGUGACUGCUGUCAUGAUGGAAGACUUGAAACCCCUGCAAAAAAAAAAAAAAAAAUGGCAAAUAGAAAAGCAUCAUCAUUGUUUUGCACCCCCAUCCCGCUAAUUUGUUCGUUUCUCUGGAAGCAGGAAUUAUGUGCAGGAACAUUUGUUUUUUUCUCGCGAAGCGUGCCUAGAGCGCUGAAAUCUGAAUUAUCUACUUCAAAUCUGAAUUGUCACAUCGUGAUGAUCAAUGCCCCAAAUGAUCAGACUGCAAGCUUGAUUUUUUAAUUUUUUUUUCCAAAGGUACAUGACGACCUUUUCAAACUUGAUAUAUCGCAUCAUAGUUCUAGAUAACGAAGAGUUAGACGGAAAUAAGGACUCUUCAGUUUCAACAGUUCUCUUCGAUUGUGUAAACUGAUUGUAGAAUUUUGAUGUAAAUGAAAAUGAUAACCAGUUAGUACAAACUCACAAUUAUGUGAAAAAUAUUUGAAAUAAUUUUCAGUGUGAACUAGUAUGCAUGUGUGUUUGGAUAGGAGUUUAUUUGAAAUAAUUAAUGAUGUAUAUAAAACAAAAAGUCGUUAAAAAAUAAAAAAAAAAGUGUAUUGAGAAUAUAUUUAUGAUGCAAACAGAUAAUUUUUAUACAAAUAUUACCUAUCAAAGCAUCAAAAUUAUACUAGUUUGCACAAUUGGACAAAACUGGACGGAUCCUAAUUGAAGAGGCCUCAAAUUCGAGUUAGGCAGAGGAGCAGCAGGAUCAGCAACCGUUCUUGAAGGUUCAUAAUUAAGAUUUGGUAAAAAAAAAAAAAAAAGACCUAGAUUGCAUCUCAUAUAUCAUUUUUCACAUUAUAUGUGGGUUUACAAAAUUUUGUUCUAUAGUUGUACGUUGUUGAAAGUGAAUUAUACCAUAUGUAUAUAAAAUUACAUCUUGUGCAUUUUGCACAAAACCGACUUGAACAGUUUUUUUAAUAACCGUACGAGCCCCAUGUCCGAGUUAGGACAUCUGCAACGGAGUGUGAUGAUACGUGUAAUGCCUGCCAUGAUACGAGUCCAUUACAUGCAUCAUUCUGAUGAUGUGUGUAACAGGCGGGCUAGUGUCAGCAGACCAAUUUUUUUGAAGUUGUAACAGACUAAUUUUUUGAAGCUACAAUGGACAAAAUUUAUACCAGCAAGUUAAAGUUAACAACAUUCAUUUUUUUUUCCAAUGGUUAUGUUUUAAUUCUUUACAUAAACACGCAACAGACUUUUUUUUUUUUUUUUUUCAUAUCCUGCUAUUCUACUCUAUUAUUUCUUUUACUCUUUCACCAUUUUCCUCAAUCUGCUUGCACAAUUUUUUAAAAUUUCAAUAUUUUGUGAUUAUGGAUGAGAAUUUUAGUAGUUUUACAAAUAUGUUAAAUGCUCCAAAUAUAGAAAAUUCAUCCUCCUCACAAAAUCAAAACCACCAAAAUUUUCCAAAUUACCCAUUUUCUGGACGUAUCAUAUCUUCGCAUUUGAGGUAUCACAUAUUUGUUUAAUAAUUGCAUAAUUAUUUUUCAAAAAAUAACAAUAUAUUAUUUUUGAGAGAUAGAAAAAGAUAUAUUGUUCAAACUUAGAAAUUAAUAAUAUUAUUUUUUAGAAAAUAAAAAAUUGAAAAGGUAAAAAUUUUAAUGAAAGUUAAUAAUUUAUUUUUUAAAAAUAACAAAAUUAUUUUUAAAAAAUACUUUAUUUGUUUAUGGGAUAUGAGUUAUGUAUUAUUAAAAUAAAUGUUUGAUUUAAUUGUAGACUCAUGCUAUUACACCUUGUGGAGUGUAAUCCAUUGUGAGUGGAAGUAUAAUAAAAAAGAAGAAAGUGAAAUGCUGACGUGGCACGUGAAUCACAUCCUAAAAAGUGUAAACCAUUGUAAAUGCUCUUAGACGUAGCAGUCAAAUAUAUUGAUCAGGUCAAUUUAUACCAUUUUUAGGGAUUUGGGGCCUCUCCAAUUGUAGUUCCCUUCAAUUAUGUAAACUAGCAUAAUUUCAGUAUAAACUAGUAUAUUUUGGUGUAACCGUGAGUUUUACACCAAUUUAUUAUAACGUAUGUUUGCACCAAAUUAUACCAGUUUACACCAAAUUCGAUUGAUUUACACGAGAGAAUUAAAACUAGGGCAAUUUCGGUAUAAACUAUAUAUUUUUGGUGUAACCAUGAGUUUUACAUCAACUCAAUUAUGACUUCUUUUACACCAAAUUUGUACCAGUUUGAAUUUGAAGGGCCCGAUUUCUCCCUUCCUAGACCUUUCAAUUCACGUUUAUAGCUCAUUAUAUAGAACUCAGUUUUGCUAAAACUAAAGGCUUAGCUGAGAAAGAUUCACAGAGAGCUUAGCAUGGAUAACUAUCAAGAAGAAGAAGAAUUGCAUCAACCACUCUUACAAUCCAACCAACAAACACCAUCACCGCCGCCGCCACCACGAGUACUGGACUACUCCCACUCGACAGCCUAUGAAGCCAGCACCGAGCUCGAGAAGGUGCUCUCCAACACCCAACUGCCAUGGUUCAAACGCUUCCGACAAGCCUCUUGGAUCGAACUCAGGCUCCUGUUUCGGCUAGCCGCACCUGCCGUCAUGGUUUACAUGAUCAACAAUCUCAUGUCCAUCUCCACUCGAAUGUUUGCCGGCCAACUCGGGAAUCUUGAGCUUGCUGCUGCCUCCCUCGGCAACCAAGGCAUUCAACUCUUUGCCUAUGGCCUCAUGGUACAUAAUCUCUUUAAAUCCCCUACCAAUACACAUAACCUCAUAUAUUUGCUCCUUACAACCAAGUAUUAUAAACUUUCAAUACAGAAAAGAUUAAUACAUAUAAUAUCUGGAAAGAGAAAAUGUGUCCGAUAAAUGCUUGAAUUAGCCGGUGUUUUUUUUAAAAAAAUUAUUUGCUCGUAUCUCAAACACUAUUUUUAUCACCUUUUUAUUUCACGUAUGAUAUAUCAUAAACAUGUUACAGUAAUUAUUGGAAAAAAUCUUUCAAAUAAUCUUCUAUCCAAGCACACUCAAGCUUCUUGUGUUUUACAGCUAGGAAUGGGAAGUGCUGUGGAGACUCUAUGUGGGCAGGCCUAUGGAGCUCAGAGGUAUAAUAUGCUAGGGGUGUACCUUCAAAGAUCAACGGUGGUACUCGUCUUAACAGGGUUGCCGGUGACCGUGGUUUAUGUUCUAUCAAAGCCACUCCUGCUUUGGCUGGGAGAAUCCAAAAGCGUGGCAUCAGCAGCAGCAGUAUUCGUAUACGGGCUGAUCCCGCAAAUCUUUGCCUACGCAGUGAAUUUUCCCAUACAGAAGUUCCUGCAAGCUCAGAGCAUUGUUGCACCUAGUGCCUAUAUCUCACUGGGCACCUUAUUCUUGCACGUACUCUUGUGCUGGAUUUCGGUGUACAAGAUAGGACUUGGGUUGAUUGGGGCAUCACUGGUGUUGAGUUUGUCCUGGUGGAUUAUUGUGAUUGGUCAGUUUGUUUACAUAGUAUUGAGUGAUAAGUGUAAGACCACCUGGACAGGGUUCACAUUGGAGGCUUUUACUGGACUUGGGGAGUUUGUGAAAUUGUCGGCAGCAUCAGCAGUCAUGUUGUGCUUGGAGACUUGGUAUAUGCAGAUUUUGGUGUUGAUUUCUGGAUUGCUUCCAAAUCCUGAGCUUUCCUUGGAUUCUCUCUCAAUCUGGUAAUGUAUCUUUUACUGUUUCUUCCCAUAUAGGAGUGAUGAUCUUUUUAAUUCCAUGUCGUUCCAAUAUGGUUCCGCAGUACAAAUUCCUGAAUGCGAGGAAAAACAAUUCAUAUCUAAGUAGUACUAAUCAAAAUUGACCAGUCAUCUACUUUAGUGGAAAAGAAACGACAAGCGCUUUUUAACCCCACUUAGUUUGUGCUUUUAAUUUCACUUGCUUCUGUACUUCUUUUGGACAAUAAAUUUACACUAAGUAAGAUACUGGCUCGUGCUCAUUUUGGCUUGCAAAGUGUAGCCAGGGAAAGCACAGAGAAUUGGGUUCUCUUACGAAUAUUUUUGGGGGUGACAAUCAAUUAAUCCCCUUGGCCCCAUUUAGUUAUCUGAUGCCUAUAUUCUCAUAAAGUUAAAAGCUGAAUAUUGACCAUGAAUAGAUAUAUGCUAAAAGCAUUCUCAAUCAAGGGCUUUCCAUUAAUCAUAGAUCUGAAUCAGUUAGAACAGAAUAAAUGAACCAAAGAAUAUGAGUAGAAAGAAAUGGUUCUCAAAUCAUCAUAAAUUCUAACAUGUUAUAUAACUAAGCCCCAGUAUCUCCACAACCAUGCAUAUAUGAAUAUGGGCACUUUUUUUUUUUUAUUAUUCCUUAACAGUUAGUGUUAAUUUCACUUGGCAAAUGAAUUUCAGUUUAAUUAAGACAUGUUAAAAAAGACAGAUUUCCUUUUAUCUUUUCAUUUCAAAGUCCUCUCAUACUACUUAUCCCAGGUUUUGAGUGUUUCCAAUUACACAUGCACCAUGAUUAUUAGGGAGAACAGGAAGGACCAAAAAGUUGAAAGAGCUUCUUUUCUUCCUUUUCUCUUUAGGAGAAAUUAAAGUGUUUUUUUUUUCUUAAGACACAAAGAAAAGCUAAAUCUGGUUCUUAACGCACGAACCUUUUUGUAAUAUCAUCUUUAAUUAUUGUCAGAUCAAGAAGCAUUUGAUGCCUGCGCCUCAGACAGGCAAGCUUUAUUCCCAACCACUGAUGCCUGGUCAUUGUGGUCAAUUGAACAGCCCCUCCAUAUAUUGAAUAAAGGGCUAAACACAGAUGCAUUAAAUACCCCAUCCACCCUCCAUUUCCAGCUCCAUAAACCUUUAUUUAUUAGGGCACAGAGUACUUGAUAGAGAGUUUCAUCGAAGCUUUGUCUGUUGUGCAUUAAGAGUCUGGACACAAAACUAUUGUAUUGCUGGGUCCUCUCACAAGGCAAUAUUUAAGGAACUAGAUAGAAUACAAAAGCUGUUCCUGCAAUCAAAGCCCCAGAUUUUUACCUAUAAUGUGUGCUUGGUCCACUAUACUAUUGUUGAAUUAUUUCUGUAGUUUCACAUCACGUUUUAUGUCAAGAAUAAAAUAAAAAAAAAAAGAAAAGACGUCUUACCAUCUCAAAUUGAUCUCUAUAGUAUGCAAGCGGAAUUGUAGUUCAUCUCGUAAUCGAGUAUUAUUGGUCAUCGUCUAUGAUCUAUUACCUCUCCUUAUUUAGUUUCAAUUACAUUAAUGAGGUAACUUUGUCCAAGGGAGAAAAUGAUCGAGAAAAUGUGCACACUCUCACACACAUGGCGACGAUCGAGAAAAUGAUUGCAUGAUCAUCAUGAGAAAAAAGUAUAAUUAAUACUGCUAAAUUGUACUCCCUCCGUCACACUUUGAUAGUCCUGUAUUCCUUUUUCAUCUGUCCCAAAUUGUAGUCCACUCUCCAAUUGAAGAAUAUAGUUGUAUUUUCAUUUUCCUAAAAUACCCUUAUUCAAUAUAAGUAGUUAUUACUAUAAACCUACCCCAUUUAAUGAGAGUUGAUUCUUUUUUUACCAUUAAUUCAAGUUUGCAUAAAGUUGUAUCAUAUUUAAUGCGAGGGUAUUUUAGAAAAAUAGCAAUUUAAAUUUACUUUUCCAACAAAGUUAACUCCCUUUUCUUAAACUGUGUGAAAAAGAAAACAUGACUAUCAAAGUUGGAGGGAGGGAGUACCUGAUUUUUGCACUAUUAAUUAACACCUAUAAUUCUUGUAAUUAAAAACCAUGAUACAGUCGUCGUUCUAGUUGAUUUUACCAUUGCGCCGAGAAUCUUAUGGUCUGUCUUGAUGACCUUGUGCAGCUUGGCUGUAAACGGAUUAUUAUUCAUGGUUUCGGUUGGCUUCAAUGCAGCAGCUAGGUGGGUUCAGCUUUUAAUUAGUUUUUGUUGAUAAAUUCAUAAGCAUAUACCAUCUAUCUAGUUCAAUCAUUAAUUUCAGGUAAUACUCUAUCUAAACAUACAAAUUUGUGGCAUUAAUAUUUGAGAUGGGAUUAACAUGCAUGGCAGCGUGAGGGUUGGGAAUGAGCUAGGAGCAGGAAACCCAAAGUCGGCAGCAUUUGCAGUGUUUAUGGUGAAUUUUGUGUCAUUUGUAGUUGCAGUGGUGGAAGCCAUCAUCGUGUUGUCGCUGCGACAUGUUAUUAGCUACGCAUUCACCAGUGGGGAAACCGUAGCCAAUGCCGUGUCGGAUCUUUGCCCAUUUUUAGCAGUCACUCUCAUCCUCAAUGGCGUCCAACCCGUCUUGUCUGGUAAGAGUUUAGUACACCUUUUCAACAACAUUUACCUCAGAGAAUUAACCAUAUUGUUGUUAAUCAUGUGGUGCUAAUUACGUAGUUAAGAUUCCAAUCUUAAAAUGUAUUCUUCUUUUUUUUUUUUGGGGCAGUUCUUGAUGGGAAUAAUUGGGAUUAAUUAGCGUAUAAAUGCAUGUUAUGUUUCAAUAAACAAUGAUCCACAUGCACAUAUACGACUCAGAUUACUCAUCCUAAUUACUAACCAAUUAAUAUAGGAUAAAAAUAUGCGUAAGUGUGUCUUUCUCGGUUUGGAGCCUUGUGGAUUAUAUCUUUGUCUAUGCUGUAGUAAUCAUGGUUUGGCUCAACUGCUCAUGCAGGAAUCCAAGACAACGAAAUGGGCAAGUUGAAGUCACUUUUGUAUGCAUGCACUCACAAUUCUCUUUACGUAACUUUCUUUUGUUUUAUAUAUAUAUACAUAUAUUUUAAGUGUAAGUGAGAGAUUCAAAUACGGGAUCUCUUAUUAUACUUUUUUUUUUAGUACUAUCCAAUCCGUCUCUCCUAAAUCUGAAAGAUUCUCUAGUAGGUGAAAUACUCUAAUUAAUCCCCUAUAAUAAGAUAGUAUAAAGCAUCUGUAUGGAAGGGUUAAACCCCCCCCCCCCAAAAAAAAGGAGAGAAGAAAGGGAGAAUCAUCAUCGGAUGGUUAGCAACCUGAUAUGAAAUUUCCUAUCAAAAGAAAAGGACGUCUUUUUGCUUUCUUGAUUGAGAAGCUGUGUAUGGUCUUGAAAGGAAACGAAGCUAGCUAACAUGCAUGAUGGGUGUAAAUUGUACAUAUCCUAUUAUAUUACAUCAAAAAAAAAAAGGCCUUUUGUGACACAUUGAUUGAAACCUUUUGGUCCCUUGAUUACCACUGCAAAUUGGCAACCACUGAGCUCUUCAUGAAGACAGCCAAGACAAAGACCAAAACUUUGAUGAAAUAACUACGGUAUAUGCAGCAAUAUGACCAGCUUUGUUGAUCGUCCACUUCAACCAUAGAUAAUGCAGCAGCUUUAAUUUAUAUAAGUGCAAUAACUAACACCUAUACAUACAUCUUUUCUUCCUUGAUUAGUUGUAUUGAUAUCAUCAAUUCAAGAGACUCUUUUUAUGCAUUGAUUUUCAUCAGGUGUUGCUGUGGGGUGUGGAUGGCAAGCAUAUGUAGCUUAUGUAAAUGUGGGAUGUUACUACGUGGUAGGAAUUCCGUUGGGUUGUCUUCUCGGCUUCAAAUAUAAACUUGGAGCUAAGGUAUAUGAAUGAAAUUAGGCUUUAAUUUCUUGCAGUACUACUUCUUAUACGUACCUGAGGCAUAUAUAGCUGAUACAGGAUCUUGUGUUGUGGAUGGAAGGAGAUGGAAAUUUGUUAUUGGUUGGCAACUUUAAUUAACCAUUCCUGCUUGCAGGGUAUAUGGUCCGGAAUGAUUGGAGGAACAAUGAUGCAGACACUUAUCUUAGUAUGGUCUACAUUUCGGACGGACUGGAAUAAAGAGGUUAGCAAUAACUAACUGGUUAAUAUCGAUCCUAAAUUAAUUAGAACCUCUUUAGUUAUGAUUUUAAAAUUUUUUCCUUUCAUUUUUGUUUACUAAAAAAAGUUAUUUACGGUUGUUCAAGAAGGUUAUAUAUAUAUGAAUAGCUCAAAAUUUAAUUAAUGAGUUUUCAGGUGGAGAAAGCAAGAGAACGUCUGCGAACCUGGGAUGACAAGAAAGAACCCCUUUUGAAGGAUUAGAGGCUAAUUAUGAUUGAAUAGUCCUGAACAGUCCUUGUAUUUGUCCCGAAUUACAAUUGAGACUGCGGCGAAGUCCCAUUGGGUGUCAAUUCCCUGGCUUCCCCCAAAUAAUAUAUUUCAUGGCUGGGAAAAAUAUGAGCAUAAGCAAUAGCUCAUUGAGAAAUCUAAGGAAGACAAUUCUGAAGUUUAUAAAUGUAAUUCAUUGAAGGAAGAGAAUAAUGAAAAGGGGCAAUGAAUUUCCCAUAAAUGCCGUAUGAAUUAGAUAUUUUUUCGCCUGUUUUUCAUAAAUUUUAGUAUUAUAGUAGUGUAUGAAAAAUUGUUAUUGUAAUUGUUUGUUAGGGCGUUUUUAGAAUUUCAAAUAUUGUUGGAGUAUUUUUUUUUUUUUUUUUUAAAAAAACCAUCCAUCACUAUUACUUACCACGACAACCACACCACCCCCUCCCUCCUCCUCUCUCUGUCUCUCUCUCCUUUUCUUCCUCCUCUCUCCUCCCUACUCCCUUGCCGGCAAAACCCUCCUCCUUCCUUCCAAAAGCCGCUCGCAACUGGAACUUCUGAUUGCGGAAAGGGGAGAGGAUUUUGGGGAAGGAAAGAAAGGGGAGAAGGGAGGAGGAGAAAGAGAGAGAUAGGAGAGAGGAGGGAGGUGGUACUGGUGGCGGUGAUUAGUGGUGCUGGUAUUAUGUGGUAGGAAUUAUUUUAUUUUUUAUUGCAUUUGAGAAUGUAUGUAUGGAUCAAAUACUUUUGGAAUUGUAUUUAGAAUGUGUUAUUGCAACAUUGUAAUUGAAAAACGUAUUUGUGAAUCCGAAUAGAGCCGUUGUUCUUUUUUUUACCCAGUUUUUAGGACGUUAACCCCUUGGCCGGGGAUAGAGCAAUUAAUCCUUAUCUACGGUGAUGGCCAGCACAAAGUCUGAAUUUUCAUUUUUUUUUUUUUGUAGUUGAUCUUUUUAGUUGUGCUUAGGAAAUUCCAGGCUUGAAAACCAAAUUGAAGGUGAUGAAUUUCAGUCUGAAUUCUGGUGUUAAUGAGUUACAAGCAACAACCAUUUGUGAUAGUUUCAAGGCAACAAACCAUUGUUUUUGUCAUUGAUGACCAAACUUUUUCUUUUUCGAUGAUCACUUAAACUUUAGAAGUUCAGAUAUGAUAAUAAAAUUUACACAUUGCACUAUCAAAAAAUUAAAUUCAUGCAUGCAUUAAUCCCAUUAAUCCCUAUGAUGAAUUUUUGAAGAAGUAUCGUAAUUAAUUGAAAUUGUGUUCAAUAAUAUGAAAAGGGUACAGAAAAAUCAAAUAAUCUCAAUGUUUUUGUACUUAGGUUUUUUUUUUUUAUUAUUCUUUUGUACUCAGUUUUAACAAUGUGAAGCAGUCCUUUCUUCUUUAAGUAACAAUAUAAUUCUAACUUCAAGACCUUUGUCUAAACAAGAGGAGGCAAUGUGAGGAGGGAACAACUGAAACUUUUAUCCUUGCACCGAUUCCUUCUUAAAUUUAGUUGAGAGGAGGGAAAUAUUCAGAAUCCCCAUCUCGCUGUAACUUGUAAUCAAAUACAACUAUUUUAUAUGAAUGUCCAGAAAAAGAGAUUUAGAUGAACGCUCAAGCAAAUAAAGCCACAAAUCUUUUAGAUUGAUAAAUAUUUGAAUUUGUUAUAUACAUUAUUUACAAUCAAUUUGGCUUCCAAAAUUCAUGUUAAAUGGAUUUAGGCUGUAUGUACACCAUACAAAGCUGCAUGAGAAAAUAGAUUACUUUUUUGUCCUUUAUAUCUCUCAUCCAAAUUUCUAUGGGAGGGGAAAGCACAUGAGAAAAGGAAAGAAGCAUAAUCAACGAAACUAACACUACCUAUGCUAUGAGUAAAACAGUGAGUAAGGCUUACUGUAAUUACAAAAUCCACAAGAAGUUACCUCAGAAGACUUGUGACUCAAGAAUGGUUUACAUCUUCCUCGAGUGAAGUAUGGUAAUCUCACCAAAACUGUUACAUCUACGUCAGUAUUUUUCCUCUACAAAAAAACAUAAAUCCACAAGGACUACAAAGAGCAGUAAAAUUUUCAAUCCUCUGAAAUGUUGGAUCUACAUCUGCAGGUGCUAGUCCAACAUGGUCAUCAUCUGUGUAAAGACACAGCUUAAGGGUCGUAGCACCCCAGACAUGAGUAUAAAUGCCACCAGCAUUCUGUAUCCAACCAUGGAGAGACCUUACAAUGUGAUGGCAGAGAAUUAUUCUGGAUGAGGCCUGGCAAUAAAAAUACUAUCCGCAUAAAUUCAAAUUCAGUUGAUCUGAUUGCCUACCCAGGCUAAUGCUGAUCAUUCCACUGGCAUGCAGAUCCUUCAGUCUGAAUUUGGUGCAUCAUGCGGUGUUGGCAAUGAAGACUUGGACCUCAUUAUACGUUUGCACAUCCUGAAACACAUAUCAUGCAAACAAAUCACAUUACACUGCAAAGAUGAGAUUAGAAAUGCAAUGAUCACUUGAUACUUCGAAAUGUACAGGACACAACAGAGAAACUUAUCAUACCUAGAAACUUCAAAUGAUAUUGCAACCAAGAUAUUCUAAACAAAUCUUCCAAGAAUCAACCAAAUUAAAUAAUGAGCAAGCUCAACAAGAAAACACACAUACACAUCAAGAGCCUCAGUUCUUCUCCUAAUUUCAGACGAUGAGAGUGUAGGAUCAGCAUUUUUGGGUAAUGAAUCCUGCAGCUGGGUUCUCUCUCGAAGCCACUGCUCUGCUUUACUGCAUUCGUUAUAUACCUGCAAAAUGAAAGAGGUCAAGCAACUGAACGCUAUAAAGACAAUGCAAAAAUAUACACCUUCAAAAUGAUGCGAAAGUGACCGUACAGCAUCUCUCUCACUUGGUGGCAGUGAUCCUACAGCCAUUCGAUUCUCCACGAUGCAAUUUAAUAAACUUCUUGUUGCCUGUGCCCUUGCCUCUUCAUCUUUAUACCGAUGUUCAACAGGAUUGACCAUCUAAACAAAAUUCUGACAAGGUUAUAACGUCCACCAAGAAGAAGCAUGAAAACGUUACACUAGGGCAUGUACACAGGAAGCACCUUUUUGAGAUCUUCAAGUUUCCGAGCAUAGACGUGUUCAGACUCGUCAUCUCCAUCAUCAUACAGCCAUUCCUCAGUCUGUUGCAGACUACUGGAAAUUCCUUCUCUUUCUGCAUCGGUAGCAAAGCUCCGAUAUGAAUUUAAAAGCUGCGGAUGUGAUGUCAUUUUCACACUAAAAGUGAGUUGGAGCAUGAAAAGGAUUAACCCCAAAAAAAAAUGUUUGUGCACCAAAAGAGGACAUUGAUUACAGAAUUUCAUAAAGCAAAAGAAAAGAGCAUUGAUCAUUAAAAGUUCAGGAAGAAAAGUUCCUAAAAAGGAUUGAUUUCAAAAGUUCACCAAUCAAAGAAUACACGACUUAAGAUGAACAGGAAGAAAAAGAAGCAGAAAGAAUCUCCUCUUUCGGCUACUCAGAUGUAAUAUAAUUUUGAAUUCACUGACAAGUGUUUCUCAAAUAAGAACAGUGAAUGAACCACGUCAGUUGACAAAUUCCAGAAGAAGAAGAAGAAAAACAUGAUGAAGGUGUUGUAUGUUAUUACUUUAGAACUAAAAUAACAUAUUUUAGCUGGACUAUCCCAAACUCCGAAUUAAAGUAUAUAAGAAAAACAAAGAAUGGCCCAAUGGAUACUAAGUCUUUCUUCGACUUUUCAUCGCCAGGCAUUCAUUCUUAAAUAGCUUGCUAUUUGGCAUAAAUCUUUUCCCAUCCAGUUUCAAAGAAAUUUAUCAUCCUGGUGAUAAAAAGGCGGACAGAUUUGAAGCAUUGACCUAAAUAGAUGCAAAAUGAACGGCUCCACAGCGCCAAAUUCCACGUCAAAGUGGAUUAAAGGUCCUCAACUGUUUUCAGGCCAAUCUUGAAAUCAGAAUGCUAAUUGAAAGAUGCUCAGUCAAGUCUUGGUUAACAAGAUUACCCACCAUGUGCGAAUUAGUGGCUCCUAACAAAUGCAAAGGUUUGACAGGGAGAUGCAGCAUUUAUGUAAAGAUAAGAUUGAGUGGGCCUGGUUGAAGGAAAAUCUUAAUAUUGUUUGCCCAAGGGAUCUGAAUAAACAAGUUGGAUCCCAGCCAGCCCCGACUGCAGAUACAAUGACUUUGUUUACCUAGGUCUUGCCUUAGUGCGUGUUUCACCAUUUAAGGUUUUUGCCAAGUGUUAAAACCAUACAUUUUCACUUUCCAGUCAAUUGGAUCUGCCUCUACUCUCACUGCAUUAAGGACAACAAACUUUCCAACAGUAAAAUUGGGUCUAGCUAGUGCUAAAUCAUGUGGUGUGCUGGCAAUUGUCCAGAGUGGAUGGCUGCAGAGCUAGUAUGACCUGGCAUCUGGCAUUCAUGAGCUGAAGUGUACAAAAUGUACAAUAAUGAGAAGUUGUCCAUGUUGACACUGUGCUAAUAAGUUUCUUAGCACUGUUAAAUGCCAAUGCAUUCUUUUGUGCAAAUGAAACAGUGAAAACAGGAAAAACUCUUAUCCUGUUUACAACUUACUAGUAUUUUCAGAGGAAAAUUGGAGGUAACAUAAUGAUGGAUCAUUAAGAAAGGGCUCCAUCUACUUUCAAUAAUCUGAAAGCAGAAUCAAUUAGGCUCUAGAGUUAUAUCCUGUGGAAACUGUUAGAAACCCCUUGCUUUUACCCCCAAGCAUUAUGCAUCUUAAACUGAAGAAUCUACAAAGCAAGGUGGUAGCUGCUUGGUGUAGCAGAAAUGGCAUGCUCACAACUUCUAAAAGGGCCAUUUUUUAUGUUCUAAAUGCAUCCAACAAGUUCAAUCAACGGUUUAGUACUUUAAGCAACCUGAAUAAAUUUCAAAUUUUUAUCACAAUUUCUACAUUGUGUCAAUUGUCAAAUAUAUUUUCAUUGAUAUGCAUUAUUAAAAGUAACUUUCAAAAUGUUCAUCUAACUAUUUUGGACAUGCAAGAAAUCAGAAAUAUUUGAUACAAUAUCAUGCAUGCUCCAUGAUUUUUAACCAUUUGGUUUAAGUGCCAAAUAUGAAUUCCAGUUAAGAAACAAUUUUUCUGGUAGAUUGUGACACAACUACGAAUAUAGUUGAUUUGAAGUGUUUUCUUAUGUCUUGUCCAAAUUAUUCAAGGAAUGCAACUUAGAAGUAUCUGUGCUAUGUCAUAUUCAUUACUCCUGUACAUGGUGUUCUUCUUGGCUAGUGGCAACAGUAGCUAAGGAACUUAUAGUCUAACAUUAAAAAAAAUAACAGAAAAUGAAGAUGACAGGAAGCAGAUACAGCAAAACUUAAAGAUAAUGACAGGUGCAGCCUGUGGAUGUUCCAUAAAUGCACCAGAAACAGGACCAGAAUACAGAAGGAAAUCCAACUGAAAGAAAUUACACCAAGCCAACCAGCACAGAUAAUUUGACCAAUUGUUGCCGAACAAACUAAAUGUGUUUUGCAAACAUGCCGAUGUAAACAAGUAAAUGUUGGCCAGUAAAAGCAAUAUAUGGCCAACCUGUUUGCUCUUGGAUAGUCAUAACUACGACAAUGCACCUUUAUCAGAUAUCUGUCUAGGCAAACCAAAAAAGAAAAAAAAUUACAGGUACUGAGUGUGUUUGAAUACAAGUGCUUUUUUUUUUCCACAUAUUAUUUCGCUUGCAUCAUAGACACAUUUUCCAAUCACCAUUUUAUCUCACACACAUCAUUUCACAAAAAGUGCUACAGUAUUAAUCUGGAUAUCUUUUCCAAAUAAUCUCCUAUCCAAACACACCCAUUGCUUUAUGUACCAUAUUCAUACAGAGAUCUUAUGCAGCUUGAUCUUUUAGGCCUGGUUUCCAAACUGAAACCUGACGUACACAUAACUAGAUAUUGAAUCAUACCUUGUUACGGGUGUCAUAGACAUAAGACUCGAGGGAGUUUUUACGAUCUUUAGUUCUCUCCAUCUUUGUAUCUUGUUCAGCCAAUUGAAGCUCUUUUUCUUGAGCUUGGGACAGUUCAACUGGCGUCAUCCCACCACAUAUAUUUUCACUGAUUGGUAUAUCCUGUCUCCUUGUUGCUUUUGCCCUCCUUUCAUCACCCUGCACAAGGAUAUGAAUAUCAUACCAUUUAUUUACAUUCAACAAUGAUAAUCUAAGUUGAAUUUGAAGGGAAACAAACUUAGUUUGGAGGACCAGCAGACUCAUUUUGUAACUGAACAAAGUAAAGGUACUAGAGCUAUGUUGAUGUCAAAACAAUUAAAUUAUUGAAGAUGUAUGCCUCUGUAUCUUGGGCGCAAGCCUAUCUUUUCUUUCAAUUGAUAAUGGGGAACAACCUCAGCAAUGUAAUUAUUCCUCAAGCCAAAAGACAAAACUUCAGAAAACUUACAGCAGCUGCAGGUGAAAACUUUGAAUGUGCAGAGUUUGAGUCACCAGGACCAUUAGCUGUGUAAAAAGUCUCAUGAUUGCUUGUCUCCAUGUUCUCUGAAAGAGCAUCAGCAUAGUUAUUUGAAGUAGGAUCAUCCGCAUGAUCUUCAAUCAGCUGAAGAAAGAUAAAAAUUUCAUGAAGAAUUCAAAUGAAUCAUGAUUUACACAUGUUUCUCAAAUUAUAAUCUACACUCACCGAAGCUGAUUCAACACCAACUAUUCCAUGGAUGUUUAGGUGAACUCUUACUUUAACCUUCGCCUUCUCCGAAUGGGAAACUUGGUAGGGGCCAAUCUAAACCAAAAAAAAGAAUAUUUAACUUGAGUUUGCUUAUCUUCCUAAUCCAACAAAUUCAGCUUGAAACAAGAAAAGCUACAACUACAGCAUAAUCAUUGAAAGUAGGAAAGAAAAUUAUCCUGUGAUAUAAAUAGAAAGUAAACUCUUUGAGAAUGAACCUCAAACAAGAAAAAGACGAAACAAAAUAGCAUGCCAACUUUCACCCCAAAAAAUCUGGUGCAUUUGGGUUGAGAAUUGUAUAUAUCAGUUUCCACUUUGGAAUCAUCCCCAUCUAGAACUGUGUUCUUUAUGACCGUAAUCAGUGGCCCAGAAUUUGCAGUGUCUAGAUCUUGUUUUUCUGGAAUCCCUAUGCAAUGAAUCCCUCCAACAUAUGACUUCCAAUUAUCACAAAAAAGUAUGUCACAUAAAUCCAACGAAGAUGUAAAUUCUCGUUCAAAUGUCCACAUCUGUCCUUAGUGCUGAAAAAGAAGUCACUGGGAAGACAAGAAAUGCCUUUUUUGAUAUUUUGCAAAGGAAGCUAGUGGAAGUUUACCUAAAGUUAGAGGCCUAGCAUAGUUUUAGGAUGUGGAUAUGACCAUAAUAUUAAAUAUCCAUAUAUAGUUAGCCUUCAUACUUAAGAUCAGGUUAUUUGACUGAAAGAUAAUGGGAAAUUUCCAUCCCGUAAUCUCAAAAAAAAAAAAAUGCAGUUCUGAUACUUUUGCUCCCUAAACUAACUUUGAGGCAAAAAAAUUUCCCCUCAUUCUAGCUUUGGCAUCCAAUUGAAUCUAAAUCUAAACAAAUCCUUCAAAACCAAACUAAGAAGUUACACAACAAUUACCACAUUACAGUACCACGACAAUCAUAUUUCUUUCCAGAAUAUCUUAAUGAAGAUGCAACAUCUUAUUUCAAUUCUUAAGUAGUUUUCUUCUGAACAGACAAAAUUAAAUUGACACUAGAUGGUGUAAAGAAGAAGUAGUGUCAAAUCCCAUAUGCAAUGGAAUACAUUCCUUUAUCUCCUUAAAAUAUUUUCAGCAAUUAGGUAACUUUCAUUAAAACACUACAAAAUGGUUUAACAAUUCUAUUCAUCGACCAAAAAGGGAUUUGAUAGUUUAUUUUCUGGUUUAAUGGGCAUUUUGAAGUGCAAAUUUCACUUUCAACAGGUAACGACAGCAAAUUAUUUAAUCUACAACAUCUUGGGAACUGGCUAAAGCACUCAAUCAACUAAAUCAAUGAGUUUGGACCCCCUUAUUCAAAGCAAGAAUGUUUGGUCAUAGCUUUACAUCAUGCAGUUAAAUUUCCCACCUGCAGUACAUUGGCAUAGAGUGCACCAUACAUGACAGCAAGAAGAUGUAAGGAUUAAAUACAUUCAAUAAUUCCACAGCGCCAUCAGACUCUCUUCACAGCAGAGUUGAAAUCCACCAAUAUCCAACUUAUUUGCUAGAAUAUAUAAAUCAUAAAUGUUUCUGAGACAUAAUAGACGUCUCUCCCUCUUUGGCCUAAACUCUCUUAAUGCAGUAACCACAACAUCUCUUCCCAAUGACAGAUCAUUAUUUUCACAUAACAAUUGGACCACCAGAUGCGAUUGAUGAUUCCAAGCAUUUAAAGAUACCACAUGCAUUUAGAAAUAAAAUAUCAUUCAGUCAAUUCAUAUUGAGGAUGAGCAGGAUGGAUAUAUGUGAAACAACAAAUGAGGAAUAUUAGUUGCACAUACACAUUCAUAGUAAAUUCAAUGAUAGAGAUACUUAAAGGCAUGGAAGCACACAAAUAGUUGCAUUAUUGUAAACAUGAUUAGAAUUGUUUAACAUCUACAAGAUAGCAAUAUUACAAAUUCUGCACAGAGAACCAGAUAAGCUCUCAUUCGCUUAAUUUAGCACAUAAUUUAGCAAAAAAUUGCCAAGUAAAAGGAAUAUUACCAUAAAAUCACUAAUUUUGGUAGACGUACAGGGUAGCAACUCAUUCUCAUUCGCAUAAAAGGCUUCCAUUUGGAAUGUAUUACUCUUCUGCAAUGUAAGCAUCUUAACACUCGGAAAAGGAUGACCUCGUGGAAACAAAACACAAUUUGAUUGUGCACAAAUUGGGCCAUCACUAAGAGAAAAUCCUAUGGAAAAUGGAAAAGAAUCUUGCACCUGCAAAAAAAAUAAGGCCAGAGAGAACAUUAUUCUAUUAAAACAGCCCACAAUUUAUCCAACUGCCUGCAACAAAACUUCAAGGAUAUUGAAGUCGCUGUCCUGUCUGCUAACCGCAUAGAAUGAACAAAAUCUUAGUAUCAUAAUACCACUAAUAAAAGAUUAUCUUCAUUUCUUUAGUGUUCAAAUUAUCAUUUUGGAUAUGCUAAAAAAACUAGCCUCUUAGAAUGAUCUCCAAUUGUCUUCACAUCAUUAAAAAUGAAAUAGUGAUUAGACAAUCAAGAAAAAUGGUACCAGUUGAGAAAAAAUGAAAAUCUAACCUAUGAAAACAUUAUCUUUAAUUGAAUCUGAACCAUCUGAUGUCAUUGAGGGACAUUCAUUGUGGACUGAAGGAUAGUUUAUGUUGAGAUUAAAGAAACUAAAUGUUUUUAUCUUCAUCGUAGGACACUCUGUUUAAACCUUUAUUUUAGAUUCCACAACUGAGUUUAAAAUUAAGGCAAUAUGCUUUUGCAUUUUAUGAAACUAAAGACAUUUGGCCUGUCAAGAAUUCUUGACAUUUGCACUUUUUAACUGAGAAAAGUUCAAAGAAAUGUAAACCAUGGAUUUUACCUGCAAGGUUUUAGUAUAUGCCUAUUUAUCAGCAUGAUGCUUAUAAAUUUUAAGUACCUGUAUACUAUGGCUAUGGUUGGUGAAUUCCUAUUUAAGAGUCAUUAAAACCUAGAAUACACAAUUGAUUCCCCAUUUUACCAACUCAUAAUUGGUUACCGACCAAUUUCACAGGUCAAUACUAUGUCACAAUAUGCACAAUGUGACACUAGAAGAACAAAAUUUCAACUAAAAGCAUGAGAAAAGAGGCUGUUGAAGCACUACAUCGCAGCAAGUGUACAAGACAACAGCUAUAAUUGUAAUGAUAAUAGGGCUCAUAAUUAUGGCAAUGGAAGCCCGGUUACAAAUAAAGGAGUAACAAGUUCCCGUUAGCGAGUCUAAGAUGCUGCCAACGAUACAUAGAGGCAUCUGCUACUCACUGAUUUUGCUCUAGAAUUUCAUUUGUUCAACUACUGGGACAGAAUCAUUUUGAAGAAGUGUGCUUUCCCACAGGAAAACUACUUUAAAUGCCAUAAUUUUUUGCAUCCUCUUUUGAUUCCGGGGUUUUCUCUUGAAGAGGAAGCCAAACUUAGCAAGGACAUGAUCAUGCAUGGGGAAGAGCAAUGACAUCAUAUUUUGGAUUCUCCCUAAAACAAGCUACAAGCACAUUUAAUGACUUCUGGAAUAACCAUGGUGAAACAAUAUUUUUUUUUAAAGCAACAUAAGAAUAAUAGACAGGAGCAGAAAUAGAGAAACAGCACAUGCUCAAGUAAGAAAGUAAAAAAAAAAAAUACAAAUGAACCAUGUUUAACGAACCUCAAACUCCCUAACACGGAAUGUUGGGCUCAGCAUUGCACAUUGAAGAGCACAACCACGAGCCACACACUCACUGACAUUUAUCGUUCGGCUGGGCUCUCUCCUGAAAAGGGCACUUAAAACCUUCAUGAUUGCAGGAAUUCGUGAGCCUGAUCCAACAAGCUCAACAGUGUGAAUCUUUUCCAGAGUCAGACCAGAGUCAAGCAAAGCCUUACGGCAGGGAAAGCUGAUUCCCUCCAACAAGUGUGAUGAUAGCUUCUCAAAAUCUUCUCUCUUAAUGAAUCCCUUGACAUCUUUCUCAUCCAUCAAGCAUUCAAUGUUAAGUGGUGCCUCUGGAUUCGCGCUCAAGACCUUUUUCAAUUUCUCACAAGCAGCCCUCAACCUUAUAGAAGCCCGAAGAUUUGAAUGGACAUCAAUGUUGUACUGUUCCUUGAAAUUGGCAGCGAAAUAUCUGAACAAAACCUCAUCAAAGUCUCUGCCUCCUAAGUUACUAUCAAAAGCAUGAGAAAGUAUCUUCAUUUGUCCAGGCUGAAAUGAUGCUACAGCCACCUGCGUAUCACAAUGGCCAACAUCAACAAACACAACAUUUGCCGGACCCCCAUUGAAGUCUGUCUUGUAUAUACCAUAACCAAGAGCAGUAGCAGUACAGUCAUGCAUCAACCUCAAAGGUUUCAGACCAGCAAUCUCAGCUGCGUGCAAAUAUGCUCUUCUCUGCAAGUCAGUGAAGUAUGACGGUAUACCAAUAACACAAUCCGAGACAUGAGUCUCCAGAUUUUUCUCCGAAAUCUGCUUUAAAUGUCCAAACAACAUCACCAUAAUUUGAAACGGUGUAAAGCUUUGUUUCUCAUCCAAGUAGUACAGAUGAAUCAAAAUACCACCAUCAGGUCCCUCAGAAGUCUCAAAAGGUACCAACUUUAAAUCAUCCUGCACACUUGGUUCCCUAAACUUCCUACCGAUCAAUCUCUUAACCUGAGAAAUCGUUGAUCUCGGGUUCAUGGUAGCAGAGGCAGCCCCUACUGCACCCAUAAACCUCUGCUUCUCACCAAACGACACCACAGCAGGGGUUUCACGUUUUGAUUCAUCAUUCAACAGCACAUCAAUGCCCCGCUGUUUGGCCACUGCUACAACACAGUUCUCAUUUCCAACAUCUAACCCCAACACACUCAUUUGCAACUAGAAGCCCAAAGCAAUCAAAACCCACCAAAAUUUUAGCACAGAACAGCAAAAUUCACUCCCAAAACAACAAGAAAAUACACCUACACAGAAAACCAUUAUCACAAUAUCAGUAGCUCAUGCAUUCAAAAAACUAGCUGCACCCCACAAAUUCAGAAGCAGAAUGAAUGAUCAGGUCAUGUGAAUUAAAAACCGAUUCAUAAUCACAAUAGAAACAGGUUUCAUCAUAAUCACUAUCAAAAACAGACUAUGAAUUACUGACAUAAUUCAAAAGAUACUACUAGCUGUAGUGAUAAAAUAUCGCAGCUCUACAGUGACGCCGGCAUCUGAUCAUCAAUGUUGUUCCACAAACAGAUUAAAUACUGAGAAAAAAUAGAAUUGCGUGGGGAAAUUGGAACACAUGUUACCUGCAAAAGUGAGCGAUGAAAAUGCAGAGAUAUUGUGGGGCGCCGGGCGAAUAGAAGGAACCCUAAAGCAUUAGGAGGAGGAGGAGGAGGAAGGGAAGAGCCUAAUGGAGGAAAGAGAGAUAAUCUCCGGAAUGAUUGGGGCGAAGAGUCUUAAGAAGAUCCCUUCGCACCCUUUACUUAUACACGGACGAAAACGGAUCAAAUCAUGUAGCAGUACCUAACGUAUGUUCCAUGGAAUUGUACUUUACUUCCGCCACUGUCUUAAUGGAAUGAUAGCUAAUGAGUGAGCGGAAAGAUAAAAAGGAAAAAAGACUGCUUAUGCCCUUGCAAUUCCGGAAAUUGGCCUUCUCUUUUCUGAUUGGUUUCUCCCCACCAAUGCCCUUUCCGUAUUACUCGGUUGCCUUUGCCUUGGCGUCUUGAAUGACAUUUUUCACGCUGCUCUCGAAUUUGGAUAGUGUAUUAUUUGAAAUAGUUAUUGUAGCAUUUUUUGUGAUAUGAUGUACAUGAAAUAAAAAGGUGAUUGAGAAUAUAAAAAAAUAGGUUGGAAAAUGUAUUUUCGAUACAAGCGAAAUAUUAUUUGAAAUAAUUUUGAUAUCCAAACACUCCCGAAGUUGCUUCUUCACCUGCAAAAAUCAAGAAUCAGCCAAGCAUGCAGCAAAUAUUUGAUUCAGUGCAAUUAAUCCAGUCUUCCGUUCUUCAGGGCAUAUGACUUGCCUGAAGUUUUUUUUUUUUUUUAUAAUUGAAUAAUUGAUUAUGACAAAGGUGGCCAAAUAUGCAUUACACCUUAAAUUUUGUUGUGCAUCACAUCAAAAUUAUGGAUUAACUAGUUUUGUACCCGUUCGUUAAACGGGAAUCGUAGAAAAAAAAUAAACUAUUUAGUCAAUUUUAUAAAAAUGUCGAUAUAAAAUACAAAUUUAAUGUAUAAUAUAUUAUAACUUGUUAAAAAGUAUAUUACUAUAUGCACAUUGUAAUAUAAAGUAUUCUUAUAAUAUAAAUUUGAACAUCUAAUUCAGUGAAUAAUAAUUCAAAAAUGAAAAAAAUAACAUUCAACAAUACCAUAACAUUCAAAAAUUUGACAAUAAAUAAAAAGUGCAGUAAAUAGUAUCAAAUAAUAUUCUACUCUUCAUAAACUUGUUUUUGUUUUUCUUCUGUUUGAGCAUUCUUCUCGAUUUGUCCGUGCAACUCAACAUUUAUUGAUUUUUCAUUAUCACUGCAUGAUAGCAAAGCAUAAUAACUAAGUAUAAAAAAAUAAAUGAUUUAUCGCAUUCAAGAUUAUGUAUAACAAUAUGUAAAGAUUAUAACUUAAAAAAAUAAAAUAAUAUAUUAAAUCUACCUUCUCAUGCAAAUCUUUUUAUGAGGAUUCCCUUUCUCUGUGAUUUUUUAUGAACCAUCUGAUAAAUGAUUUAUAUGAAGUGUAUUGAAAUGCUGUUGAUUAGAAUCAUCUGUUGUACUAAUUGGGAUCUGAGAAGAAGAUACUUCAUGUUAAUAUUGGUUGUCGGUUCUGCCAAUCUGAUAAUGAUUUAUCAAAAUUAAAGGUAAAUAUAUUAUGUGAGAUAUAGUAUGUGAAACAUAAGAGAAAUUUAUUGCACAUUACCUGUGAAAGCAUGAAAUGCGUUUCCCUCCCGAAAUCACAGUGGAACUAUCUACUCACUAUAAAUCUAUUACUACCUUGUUCCAAAUUGUAAUUGUUCACCUUGAUUUGGAAUACAAAAGGUUUUCACGUGAUCUUAUUUAUAAUUGAUGAUACAAUUUCAUUGCUAAAUCCUUCUUGGAAAUGAAAUGUGUAAUAGAUUUUUUUUGUUAGAAUAUUCAAUAGCUGAGAUAAGCGUCGGAUUGUCUACUAUUAUUAAAAAUAUUUUAAAAAAUUAGAUAGAAGUUUACCUUGUUAAAUUCUUCAAGAACAAAAGAAAGUUUGUGUUUUAUUAUUCUUUCAGUCUUUUGAUCAAAUAUAACAAACCAAACACUACUGGUUGCAUCACUUGCCAAGACUUUUAACAUAUACCUAUAUAAAUACACAUAUUCUAAAAGUUAUGUUUAUGUAGAUAUUGUAGCAAUUAAAAUGAUAAAAAGGUUAAUACCUACGACAUACCUCAAUUUAAGAUACUCCAUAUUUUGAUUGCAAGCAAUACACAGUUUAAGAUACUCCAUAUUUUUCUUACAAUACAGGGACUUGGAUGUCGACUACUGACAAUAUUUGAGAAUACUCCUUGGAUGUCGACUACUGACAGCAUUGAUAGUGGUAGCUAAUAUUAUGAAUGUAGAUAGAAUUUACUUUUAAACUUCUUGAUUAUGAGAGCAAGGAAUUGAUGUAUUCUGUAAAGCACUUUCAUGGCGCUAUUUAUGAAGCAUAGACUAUAAGUGUAUAUAGCCAAUAGUUGCCGGAAGCUCAUGUUGUUUAAGUGAUUAGGUUCUUGACCUCUCUUCUAUUUAAACUAUGUUGAUAAGACAUAAGGUUGGAUAUUUUUUUAAAAACCUUAUGAAACCAUUCUCAAGUGAAUGAAUAUUCUCAAGUGGAUUAAUUAAGUAAACGGCUAGAAUCUUUUAAUUAACUAAUGAAUUUGCAGAUAUAUCUAAUAAAGAUAUUUAUAUCUCUUGUAUUUAUAUUGCAUUACUUUCCAGUGCCUUUUGUUUUUUGUUGUUUUUCCUAAAGGCAAAUUAACAAACAUCUUAACAUAUGAUCUCAAAAAUCAAUUAACAAACAUGUUAGCAAGAAUCUUACAAAAAUAACGAUAAAAGUACUUAUUUAAAUCCUAUGUCUUCAUACAAAACAAACAUAAAAUAAAACAAAAAAAAAAUUCAAGAUAUGUUGCUAAACUCUUACAAUUGAAGAUCAAUAUGCCUUUUUAAAAAAUAUAUAUAUUGAAAGAAAAUGUACCCAAAAAUGGCAAUGGGGGCGGGUGACUGCGAGCACCAGCCCCGCGGGUGACUGCGAGCACCCGCCCGCGGGGGGUUAAUGGGGAAGGGGGUGGGACUGGGGUGGGGCGGGGGCGGGGGGAAUAUUUUUCCCCCCGCUUAGAAACGGGGCGGGGGGCGGGGGAGUGUACCCCCACCCCGCCACCCGCUUUAAAAAAAUAUAUAUAAUUAUAUAUAAUAUAUAAUUUAAUUAGUUACAAACUUAUGAUAAUGAUAUUAUUAAUUAUAUGCAUUAUACAAUGUCUAUUAAUAUAUAUAAUAUAAUUGAUAUUAUUAAUUAUACUAAUAAUUAUAUAUGUAUACUAAUACAAAUUAUUAACUGGUUAUACUAAAUUUACUAAUACAUUUAUACUAAAUCCCUAAUUACAUUUAAUACAAUAAUAUUUUUUUCUUAAAAAAAGUAUAAGCACAAUAAUGAAUUAGUGAUUAUAUUUGUGCCAAAAGUGAAAAUUUGACUACUUUAGUUAUAUUUAUUUCAUUAUGUUGGAUUGUAUUCAAAUAUUUUUUGUUUGAUUGUUUUUAUAAAUUUCAAUUGUAAAAUUAUAAUGAAUAAUAAUUUGAUGAUGUGUUAAUAUUUUAGUAUUUGAUUAUUUGCUAAAAUUUAAUCAUAAUAAAAUUAUAUAACAAAUUUUUAUUAGCCCCGUAGGAGCACCCAUGGGGGAAGCGGGCGCGGGGCGGGGAUGUACGCGGGGGGAGCGGGGGACGCGGGAUGGGGGAGUUUGUAGGCAGCAGGGUGGGGGAUGAGGGAAGGGUCCCGCGGCCCAGCCCCCGCUCCGUUGCCAUCCCUAGGCGUACCUGACAAUUAAGAGAAGUGAAAACCCAAAAUCGAUACUUUAAUAUGCCAACCGCUUGCACUGAAAAUAUCUAACCAUGAAUCUGAUGUUUGAAAUCAAUAUAUUAGAGGCUAUAUGUAGUGUAGGCAUAAGAAAUAAGAAUUAAUAAGAAUAUAAAGAGAUAUUAAUAAGAACAUUAAAAGUAGGUUUAUCUUGAUUUAAGUUGCUUAAAGUACAUAACUUUGGGUAGGAAAUAAAAAUCGUAUAAUAUUAAGAAUUCUUAUAGGAAAUAAAACCACAAUCGUCCAAAUAACUUUUUUUUUAAGAAAAUAUGAUUUAUUAAUUGAAAUUAGUUACUUUUCUACUUCUUGUAGUAAUAACAAUUCUUAUUUAUUUUGGUUCCUUAUGUAGUACACAAAUUAUUGGCAUGAAUUUGGAGAUAUAUAUAAUAGAGAUAUUUAUGUCUCUUUUAUUUAUAUCGCAUUACUUUCCAGUUCUUUUUUUGGGUAGGAAAUAAGAAUAAUACAAUAUUAAAAAUUCUUAUAGGAAAUAAGAAUUGAUAUAAAUUCAAACAAAAAAGGAGCAACCCACGUAAAAAACUACUUGACGUCUCAUUAAGUCACGUAGGAAAGAAAAAACAUGAAAGGAUAAGAAUGAGGGUGCAAUAUAUAUAUAUGAUUCAUGGAAUCUUAAAAUUUGCACUCCAUUAGCAAUAAUAAAUUGUUGUGUAUCAAUCAGGCGUGGAAAGUGUAACUGGAUCAGUAUAAGUGAGUCCACAAUACUUAGUAUAGCAUAAAGCCUUAAACCAAGAUUUUGCAGUUGGUGUUGCAAGGGAGCAUGACAGCCCACAGGCCCUAUCUAAAUAUGUUUAGUAUGGUGUCCCAUUGUGCAAUCCAGCAAGGGAGAUUCAGGAUACCUACACCCCUCAUGGUUGUACUUAGAGGUGUCAAAAUGGGUGACUUGGAUGGAUUAGAGUUGGGUAAAAUGAGUAAUAAGUAUAAGUGAGUCAACUCAAUUAUAUCCAUUUAAUUAGAUGCGUAUAAAUGGGUAAGUCAAAAAAUGAAUUGGGUAACCCAAUUACCCAUUUAUAACCCAUUUAUUUUAAUUUUUUGUAAACUUAUUUAAAUUCAUUUUUACAAACUAAGUUAUCAAUUUAUACCACCCUUUGCACCCAUCAUUAGUUUUAAAUAUUUACUUAUAAUGUUCAAUAAGUUUAAUUAUCAAUUUUUUUCCAUCCGUACUCUAUGUCGCAAAAUUAUAUACUAUUUAAUAAUUGAAUAAUAAGAAUAUAAAAAUUUGAACUAAGUACUAUAAAAGUUAACAUAAAAAAUGUAAUCCAAAAAUUUUGAACUUCUAACAUUUUUUUCAUGUGUAAAUUUGAAAUUUCAUUUUAGAAAUGUAGGAAAAGAGGCUAAAACUUAUCAUAAAUUGGUAAUGCUGAAAAAUGAGGAAGUUAACAAACUAAAAGAAAAAAAAUGAUAAGAUAAAACCAACAAAUAAUAAUAAUAAUGAAACAAAAGUAGUUAACAUCAUGAUAAAAUAAAAAAUUUGAAAAAAAAAAUAGGUGGGGAAGAGAGGAGACUUGGGAGAAGACAAUUUUAAAUGGGUAUUAUUGGAUAACUCAUUUAUACUCAUAUACAAAAAUUAAUAAUACCCAUACCCAUCUAUUCAUGUACGGGUAUGGGUAAAUUAAGUUUAAUGAGUUGGUUUGCCACCUAUAAUUGUACUAGUAUAGAUGCAAUAGAUGUGGUUGUGUGAAAAUUCUUGCAUAUAUAUAUUUUUACAUUUGGAUUGUCAUUUUUUUUCGGAACAAAUUUUUACAUUUUUCGCGAAUACAUUUUUCAAUCACAUUUUUAUCUCAUAUGCAUCAAAUUACUAUAGUACAUUUAAAAAAAAAAAACUUCAAAAAAUAGCAAUUAAAGCGGACAGUAUGUCAAAAAAUUUCCUUUUUCUUCCUUUUGGUCGACAAGGGAUGUUGACAUGAUAUGGCUUAAACGAGUAAACCGAGUCACUCCAAUUGACACCUAAAAAUAUCAUCAAGCAUGAGCUAAACUCAUCCAACAUGGGGUUAACAACAAGAAGCAAACAAUUUUUUGCUUUGUAUUACAAGGAAUUUCGUGCAUUGAGAAGAAGAAAUGCAUGCAUGUGAAAGAAUGACAUGCUCUCCUUAAUUACUCAAAGGUUACUGGAAUGCUGAAUCCAGUUGUUGGUUAUAGACUGUUCUCAAUCAUUCCGAACCAUCAAAAUGGUGCCUAGGAUGCCAAUUUCAUCCAAUCAGUGGAAUGCAAUGUUCUACGGGGCUAUCCUACCUAGGACUUCGAUCACAAAUCUUAACCAUGCCAGUUUUAUCUAAAUUAAACCCAUAAUCAUCAGCCCAUGUGAUACCUGAUUUACAAUGUACUGGCACCUUUCUUCUUGAUCUUUCCUUCUCAAUCAUGUCGGGCUCAGACCCAUGGAAAAGAUUUGUUAAUUUAGGAUAAAUGUGAACGAGUUGAAUGCACAAUAAAUAAUUUGAGUGGAGAAGAGUGCAGACUAAUUAUUGACAUGUACGGCUGCAGUGCCCACCAGCCACCACGACGACAGGCGUUGGCAAAGUCCUGCUGUCGGGGAAGGGCGGGCCUGCUUCUUCUUCUAAAUUUCUCAAGCAAAUGGAUCCAUCUUGAUUUUUGAUCCCACCACUUUUCAUGUUUCAUUCACUUAGCAUGGGCAAAUGAUCAAGGCCAAGGUUUCUUCCGAGACAGGAAGGCAACUAGAUAAAAACCUACGUAAUUGGUCUCCCUGCCUUCUCUAGUAUUCCCCUCAGUGGAACGGAAAAAUACCUAUAUCAGAGUAGCAUCAUCAUGUGUGGAUGAACAAAACUAUUCAAACCAACAACGGGAACCGUCGAAAUGGGUGAAUUGAGUGAAUUUAUAAUUCAUAACUCAUUUAUAGUCAUUCAAUUAAAACAUCAAAAUCACUGAGCUUGACUCAAUGGCUACCAGAGAGGGAUUUAAGUUCUUCCUUAGACUGUAGGUGAGGGUUCAAAUCUCACCCGCAGCAAAAAAAGUCUAAAGAUUGUAUCGUUACCGAAAAAAAAAUUAAAGCGUCAUAAUGGACAUAUCAAAUAAUUAAAUGAGUCUAAUUGGAUUGCUCGUUUGGAGGUUAGGUCUCCUUAAAAAUAAAGACGAACUCAAAAUGUAAAGGUCGAACUCAAACUCAAGCUAGAGAUUAAAAAAAUAAAAAAUUAUUAUUAUUUUAUUUUUAAAAAAUAAAUAAAAUACUAAUUUUACUUAAUAAAUAAUAACAUAUUAGAAAUAUAUAUGUAUUUUUAAAAUAAAAAUAAUAUAUAUAUAUAUAUAUAUAAUCGAGCAGACUAAAGAGCCAAUGAACUGAACAUUUUUGAAUUCAAAUUCAACUUGACCAACUCGAACUCGAUUCGAACUGCCCGCAAGUGACUCGAUUCGGCGAGUCAUCUUGAUUGAAUUGAUACUGACACCUGUGCCAACAACCGGCAGAUGCUUGUUCACAUGAAAUUAACUUGUGGCAAGAGUUUUAUUGUUGACUUCAAGACGAGCAAAUAUGUGGGCAGCCGGUCAAAGAGAACGGCAUGCGUGAAUGUUAGUUCUAAGCUGACUGCCAUGGAGACUGGACUAACAGCAGCAUUGUGGAGGGCCACCAUGGAGAAUUAAUGUUCCUUGAAAAAUUUUCAAUGCGUGCGUAGAAUUUUGUUCGCAUUGUCUUUUAAAAUUUUGACCAAUAUACAGUGUAUUACUUGCUUGUUUAUAGAGCCGGAGGUUUUUUUCCUUUUAUUUUUUGAUUUUUGGUUUGUCGUUGGAAGCAUGGAGUGCCACAAAGAGGGACAUAUUAUAUAUAGGUUUUUCCGAUCAUAGAAGCAUGAAAAUUGUCUCAAUCUAGGUAUAUGUUAACUGUUGCAAGGUUGCCAACAAGUAAUUGAUUUGAGCUCGAGGAUAAUUAUUGAAAUCACCUUUGAGCUUGAGUUAGUAUUUACUCCAAUUUUUCUCGUUUUGAUUAUGCAAUAUUUAUUUAAUCAAAGGGAUGAAAGAAGAAAGGGGUAAUUGAGCACCUAACUUGUAUUUCAAUAGAAGAUUUUUAUAAACCGACUCGCCUUAGGGUCUGUUUGAUAACAUAAAAAACUGUUGAAUCUGAAUUUUUUCAGACAUUCAGAUGUUUUGAGUGUUUGAUAAAUGAAAAUUCAUUUGCUGAACUUGUUAAGUAGUGCUGAACUUGUGUGUAUUUCUUUCAGCGCAAGAAUCCUAACUGAAUGCUUAAUUCUGAUAAGAAUCAAUAGAAUUACUUCAAUUAUCUUAUCUUAUCUACCAAAUCUACCCUUGUUUGUUAAUUAUGUUCAAAAUUCUUAUCUAAUUAAACAAUCUAAUAUUCUCUAUUUAAUGAUUUUCUAUUUCUUUUUUCUCCCUUUUGAAUGAUUUUCACAUCUUCUCCAUACUCCUCAUAUAAUAUGUUUCAUCUUUUAAAUUAAUUUGAUUUAAAAAUAAAUAUUGUCAUUUUUAUACCUAACAUUUUUAGCUAAUUAAAUCAUAGGUUCUAUUUCUUUUUUGGAUGAAAAAAUAUAAGGGCAAAUUUGUCAAAUUUAACUUAUUAAACAUUCAGUUAUAAAUGUUUAUCAAACGGUAUAAAUAUGUUUAACAUUAAAAUUCAGACAUGCAUAUAUUUCUUUUCAGUACUUAAAAUUCAGCAAAUUAAUUGUUUCAGUAUUCAGAUUCAGUUUUAUCAAACGAAACCUUAAACGAACUGAUAGCUAGAAAAAUUUGCUGAAACUAGUAUUCAACAAGGAACAAAAACAACAAAUUAAAUGUGGAUAAAGAACAAGGAAAAGAAAAAGGAUUCAUUCAAAUUUCAACGAGUUAAAAUAGUCACGGGAAGUGGAAACGCCCCUACGUCGAUAGUAGCGUAAAUAUCAUAUACAGUUUCUGUUGUAUGUGAUAUUACAGAUCCAACACAAUCUAUAGUAAGUAUCCAGACUGAAUAUAUCUAAGUAUUUUCAUACGGACAUUUAUUCAUUUAUCAUUAGUCCAACUGUGUCACUCUCUACUACCAGGUUUGCUGCCAAUUGCCAAGUAAUUAAUGAACCAUCAAAUCAGAAUCGAGGCACAAAGAAUUUGCUGAAACUAAUUCUGGGACCAACUGCAAAAACAACAAAAACUGGUUAAAGCAACUUUGAAAGGCAAAAACAGAUUCAGUACUCAAAUUUCAAUGAGUUACAAUUGUCACUCGAAAGUAAAACACCCUCUAUAUGUAUAUAUGCAAGUUUUCAUAGGCCAAAAGUUCCAGCAUCUUUUCACGAACAGUAAUGCUGAAGAUUACAGGAAAAUAGAUUGAAAAUUUUAUCUGAACAUUGGCUGGAGGCCUACAAUGGAGGCCCCUUGACCACGAAACAGGCCUUUGAAAGCUUUUAAUUGAGAAAUGAUUUGCUUGUGCAAACCAACUUCAGCAGCAUAUACGGUAGAGAAAAUGCUCUUUCUUAGCCGUUUGAACCUCCUCCCAAUUCUAAUCUUCAACUUAUUGGUUUUAACCUUCAACCAAGAUGGCCUUUUUCUUGGAGAAUCUGCUUGUUGGAGGGCCUUGUAAAUCAAGAAUUGUGCUCUUCUAUGCCUUACUUCAUCAGGGUCUUCCAUAUCCAUCUUGGAGUAAGCAAAUGGUCUAUUCAAGAGACUCAUUUUGCUCUGAGGAAAAACCCAAAAAUUGGUAGUAGAAGAAACAGAGGAAGAAGAUCUAAUUAGGUUAGGUGGAAGUAACUUAUGCUACUGCACU